rnacentral:tRNA from 1 species
AGCAUUAUCGAACCGGAAAUACCAUCAUCUGUACCAACAUAUGUUGGUAGAUGUACGUUGAUAUCGGUUGACCUUGAGAGAGUUAAUAUAGCGGGAAAGAUAGAUAAACACUGGAUUUCAGGCAUAAAAAAAGACCUCAGUUGAGGUCUAUUUACAUACUUUUGGUGCCGAAGGCCGGACUCGAACCGGCACGUAUUUCUACGGUUGAUUUUGAAUCAACUGCGUCUACCGAUUUCGCCACUUCGGCACUGAAGAGGUAUGCGGAAAACGUUGUGGAUUAUACCUGUCGCACGCCACCAUGCAAGCGCCAGCUUCG